UGAUUUUAAUUUUGAUUUUAAUUUUGACUUUAAUUUUGAUUUUUAAUUUAAUAAACAAAAAUAAGAAGAACAUGAAGAAUGUAUUGUCAAACAGAAUAUCCGGAUUAUUUGAAGAAGUAAGGAAGUAGAUGGAUGAAUAAAAGUUAGAACAAUGGUAUCUACAGUAUGACGGGGAAAAGAAAGAAGUUGUUGGAUUUGGGUAAGUUGUUUGACAUGUCAUGCCCGAUUUUGUUGGAUUGAGUAAGUCGUUUGUACAUGUUAAGUUAAAUUGAACAAGUUGUUAGCUAUGGCAUGUUGGAUUAUGAUGGGAUGGGUAAGUUGUUAUACAUGCCAUGUCCGAUUAAUUUGCAUUACGUAAAGUUGUUUGUUUGAUAUGCCAUGUCGGAUUAAUUUGCAUUAAGUUAUUUGUUUGUUUAUGAUAUGGAAUGUUGGAUUAUGGUGGGUUGGGUAAGUUGUUCGAUAUGGCAUGUUGGAUAUGGGUAAGUUGUUCGACAUGCCAUGUCCGAUUAUUUUUGCAUUAUGUAAGUUGUUUGUUUGUUCAACACGUCAUGCUCGAAUAAGUUACAUUAAGUAAGAUGUUAGAUAUGGCAUGCCCGAUUAUUUUGCAUUACGUAAGUUGUUUAAUAUGGCAUGUUGGAUUAUGGUGGGUUGGGUAAGUUGUUCGACAUGCCAUGUCCGAUUAUUUUUGCAUUACGUAAAGUUGUUUGUUUGGUAUAGCAUGUUGGAUUAAGUUGAAUUGGGUAAGUUAUUCGUCCCAUAUGCCAUGUCCGAUUAUUUUGCAUUAAGUUGUUGUACAUGCCAUGUCCGAUUAUUUUUGCAUUAAGUUGUACAUGCCAUGUCGGAUUAUUUUUGCAUUAUGUAAGUUGUUUGUUUGUUCAACACGUCAUGCUCGAAUAAGUUACAUUAAGUAAGAUGUUAGAUAUGGCAUGCCCGAUUAUUUUGCAUUACGUAAGUUGUUUAAUAUGGCAUGUUGGAUUAUGGUGGGUUGGGUAUGUUGUUCGACAUGCCAUGUCCGAUUAUUUUUGCAUUACGUAAAGUUGUUUGUUUGGUAUGGCAUGUUGGAUUAAUUUGCAUUAAGUUAUUUGUUUGUUUUGAUAUGGAAUGUUGGAUUAUGGUGAGUUGGGUAAGUUAUUGGUCCCAUAUGCCAUGCCCGAUUAAUUUACAAUAAGUAGGUUGUUCGAUACGGCAUGUUGGAUUAAGUUGUUCGGCAUGUCAUGCCCUAAUAAAUUGCAUUACGUUGUUUGUUCGACA
ensembl:lncRNA